rnacentral:rRNA from 1 species
AUUGAACGCUGGCGGCAGGCCUAACACAUGCAAGUCGAGCGGAUGAGGGGAGCUUGCUCCCUGAUUUAGCGGCGGACGGGUGAGUAAUGCGUAGGAAGCUGCCCGAUAGAGGGGGAUACCAGUUGGAAACGACUGUUAAUACCGCAUAAUGUCUACGGACCAAAGUGUGGGACCUUCGGGCCACAUGCUAUCGGAUGCGCCUACGUGGGAUUAGCUAGUUGGUGAGGUAAUGGCUCACCAAGGCGACGAUCUCUAGCUGGUUUGAGAGGAUGAUCAGACACACUGGAACUGGGACACGGGCCAGACUCCUACGGGAGGCAGCAGUGGGGAAUAUUGGACAAUGGGCGCAAGCCUGAUCCAGCCAUGCCGCGUGUGUGAAGAAGGCCUUCGGGUUGUAAAGCACUUUCAGCGAGGAGGAAGGGUGGUGUGUUAAUAGCACAUCAUUUUGACGUUACUCGCAGAAGAAGCACCGGCUAACUCUGUGCCAGCCGCCGCCGUAAUAC